rnacentral:rRNA from 1 species
AUUGAACGCUGGCGGCAGGCUUAACACAUGCAAGUCGAGCGGGGUGAUGGUGCUUGCACUAUCACUUAGCGGCGGACGGGUGAGUAAUGCUUAGGAAUCUACCUAUUAGUGGGGGACAACAUCUCGAAAGGGAUGCUAAUACCGCAUCCGUCCUACGGGAGAAAGCAGGGGAUCACUGGUGACCUUGCGCUAAUAGAUGAGCCUAAGUCGGAGUAGCUAGUUGGUGGGGUAAAGGCCUACCAAGGCGACGAUCUGUAGCGGUUCUGAGAGGAUGAUCCGCCACACUGGGACUGAGACACGGCCCAGACUCCUACGGGAGGCAGCAGUGGGGAAUAUUGGACAAUGGGGGGAACCCUGAUCCAGCCAUGCCGCGUGUGUGAAGAAGGCCUUAUGGUUGUAAAGCACUUUAAGCGAGGAGGAGGCUCUUUUGGUUAAUACCCAAGAUGAGUGGACGUUACUCGCAGAAUAAGCACCGGCUAACUCUGUGCCAGCCGCCGCGGUAA